AGGCGACGGGUGUCAGGGAAGCUAAAUUGAGUAGUCAGGAUUAGGGAAUCUACUCCAGUCAUCUUUCUAGUUCACAUGACAGAGAGAGGUCAAAACACCAACGAGGACCCCCGGGACUGGCAGGAAGAACGGAUGACGGUGGUGAGCACCGUGUGAAACUGAGGCUCUGCGGCAACGAGCAUCCAGAUGACAAGGACUUACACGUCUUUGUGUCAUGCUAGCCUCCAGGAGGGCCCCAGACUGGCGACAGCAAAACACGCCAUACAAACUAGUUCCACAUGGCUGCCAAGGGGAAAACUAAUCGUUCUUCAAGCAUUUAGGGAAAGGCCAUGAUUCCUUGAGGAAGAAGGGAGAAGAGAAUGGUCUAAAAUGGAACCAGGUGUUCCAGAAAAGUCUAGAAGACACCUCUGGAGACAUCUGGACUAUGCAUGGUAAAACAGCAGUGUUAGCAAACAGUAGCUAUCACUACUAUUGUGGAAUGAAAGUGAUGAGAAACCAUUAAAACCCUCAUUUAAUCCACCGAGAAA
rnacentral:lncRNA from 1 species